ACUGAGUUAUUUAGACUUUGGAAAAUAUAUAGUGAACUGUCGUGCUCAUUUGAGGAUGUCCAUGAAGUCAGCCUUUAGUACUAGAUACAAAACAGACAGAUAAGAAGAAUGGAUUGUUUAGGCAGAUUCUGGCACAGAACACGGCUGAUAUUAGAACCUCCCCUCCCCCAGGGUCAUGACCUUGGGAAGAAGAGAUGGAUAAGUAAACCCUUAGACCCAUCUCAAUCUUACCUCCUCCAUAAGUUCUUUCCUAUAAUAAUUGUACCUUAUUCUUCCUUGUUCUUCCAUCUUCUAUAUCACGUUAUCUGGACAGCGGUUAGGCCCCUCUCUUCCUUCAAGGCUGAAGACUUCCAUAGUCAGUUGAGACUCUGCUUCCCACAUUAUAAUGAAGACCAACUACCUAGAAUGAACCUUUUCCAGGAGAGACUGUUACCCCGUGGACGAGGAGAUGGUAAGGCAUAAGUAGGUACAGCUGGCAUGGUCUGACAAGCAUGUACUGUAAAAUGAAAUCAUUGCACCAGAAGAUUAGAGGUGAUAAAGAAAGUAAAAUAUGGAAAUUUGAACAGAAAAACAAAGUAAUUCAUUGGAGAAUUAAAGGCAAGACUAAAA